rnacentral:rRNA from 1 species
UACAGAGGUCUCAAGCGUUGUUCGGAUUCAUUGGGCGUAAAGGGUGCGUAGGCGGCGCGGUAAGUCGGGUGUGAAAUCUUGGAGCUUAACUCCGAAACUGCAUUCGAUACUGCCGUGCUUGAGGACUGGAGAGGAGACUGGAAUUUACGGUGUAGCGGUGAAAUGCGUAGAUAUCGUAAGGAAGACCAGUGGCGAAGGCGGGUCUCUGGACA